AGUCCUUCGUCUUCGUCCUUUGUCCAGUCCUUCGCCAGUCCUUCGUCUUCAUCCUUCGCCAGUCCUUCAUUCGUCUUCCUCUUACACGAGUUCCCGUGGGUUUGUCUUCUUCAUUCGUGGGUUCGUUCUCCAUUCUCCAUUCUCCGUUCUCCGUUCUCCGUUCAUUGCCAUUCUCCUCUUGGAUCGAAAUCGCUGGCAAAGUUAGAAAAAACAACUCGAUUCUAAGUCCGGAGAAUAGCGGAUCAAUGCUAGUGGUAGUCUCUGCUUCAAUUUCGUGAGGAGAUCGUGAAAAGCACGUGAGGAGAUUACAAAAAAAGGAAAAGCAUCAAAGGGCUUUUAUCCUUUCAACCGGUUCAUUUAUGUCUCCCUCCUAAACUCGGAGCGUUAUAUGGAAUUCACAUUCAACCAUCACAUUAUAUAUUAUUCCUUGCCUAGAUCUGGGAUUCACAUUCACCAACAUCCAGCGUGAAGAUUUCAUCAUAACUCACCUCGACCAUGGAUUCUCCAUUUGCCUAGAUCUAAAAUUCACAUUCAACCUGCAACGUCUUGCAAGUUACCUGAGAUUUCAAUAAGUUGGAUCUCUGGCGGUGAAGCAAAAUGAAGAUGCUCGAUCGCUCCUAUAGGGAGGUAGAUCUUACGAUAAAUGUUCGAUCAUUCCCUAGUAGAAGUUGGAUCGCUGACGAUGAAGCAGAAUCGAGAUGCCCAAUCGUUCCUACUAGAGAGGUGGAUCUAACGACAAAAGCCCGAUCAUCCCCUAGUAGAAGUUGGAUCGUUGAUGGAAAAGCAUAGCCCACAUGUCCAAUUGUUCCUACUAUGGAGGUGGAUCUAACGACAAAAGUCGAUCGUUCUCUAAUAAAAGUUGGAUCAUUGACGACAAAGAAGAACCGAGAUGCUCGAUCAUUCCUACUAGAGAGGUGGAUCUUACAACAAAUGUCUGAUCGUCCCCUAGUAGAAGUUGGAUCACUAACGACAGAGUCACCCCUGCAAAUGAUUGCAAAAAAAAAAAAAAAAAAAAAAAAGAAGAAGUUCUACCUUUAGCUCCUGUAAAAAAAAUGGGAAGAGAAAAAGGGAAAAGACAAGUUUUUUCAUACUUUUCUUUUGUUGGAUAAGGAAUAAAUGAUCAAUGUGUGGGUCUAUUUAUAAGGCCAACAAAUCUAAUUUCUAAAAGAAUUAACAAUGUUAUUUAA